AUUGAACGCUGGCGGCAGGCCUAACACAUGCAAGUCGAGCGGAUGAAGGGAGCUUGCUCCUGGAUUCAGCGGCGGACGGGUGAGUAAUGCCUAGGAAUCUGCCUGGUAGUGGGGGAUAACGUCCGGAAACGGGCGCUAAUACCCCAUACGUCCUGAGGGAGAAAGUGGGGGAUUUUCGGACCUCACGCUAUCAGAUGAGCCUAGGUCGGAUUAGCUAGUUGGUGGGGUAAAGCCCUACUAAGGCGACGAUCCGUAACUGCUCUGAGAGGAUGAUCAGUCACACUGGAAUGGAGCCACGGUCCAGACUCCUACGGGAGGCAGCAGUGGGCAAUAUUCGACAGUAGGCGGAAGCCUGAUCCAGCGAUGCCGCGUGUGUGAAGAAGGUCUUCGGAUUGUAAAGCACUUUAAGUUGGGAAGAAGGGCAGUAAGUGAAUACAUUGCUGUUUUGACGUUACCAACAGAAUAAGCACCGGCUAACUUCGUG
rnacentral:rRNA from 1 species